rnacentral:lncRNA from 1 species
AAAAAAGGUAUUACCAAAUUCAAGUGAGACUAGGAACCUCACUCGUGACAAACAACAUCGGAGAAUUGGAAGCCAAUUGAAGUAACAAAAAGAACCAAGAAUCCCAUCGUGUAUGACAUAUAUUUGUACGGGGUAUUCUUCACUAUCUAUAUCAGUAAUAGACGCUAAAGUAUUAUCUCAACGCCUCUAAUACUCGAUUACUACCAAUCUUCUCAAUUUCCCAAGAUUCAAUUCAUACCUCUACAAUUAUCAAAAAAUCCCUUUUUCCAUCAUCGCCCGGACAUCCAACCCAAAGCUACCAAGGCUCUGAUACCACCUGUAGCGCCCCGCCCCGAGUAGCAGGCACCUCGUGGCGGAACACCACUCAACAUGCAGUACAUUCAAUGACCCCAAAUAUGCUCCUCCAAAUUUGCGAUUAUCAAAAUAUUAAACCCCAAUAUCUAUACCAUCUUGUUUACAAAAGGGGAUUCUAUUACAAGUCGACUUCGACACUAAUUACUCAAUUACAAAAUUCUCGAUCAAAGGAUUCCUAUACGGAACAUAAAUAGAGAUACCUCUCGACGAGACUAAUCGGAGGCAUACACGAGCUUUAACUCUUAGUACGAAAAUUUAGGUCUAAGUCUUUCUUUUACCUGCGCAUUAAUAUCAGAAAGGAGAAACAAAUAAGUCCGAAUGACUUAGUGAAAAACAUAUGAUCCAUGAGUAUGAUGAGAAUCAACAGAACAGAACAUAUAACGAGAGACUUUACAAGAAUUUCAUUAACAGAAGUGUAACAUGAAGUGUAACAUGUACAAGAGUGUAACAUGUACGGCUUGAGUUCAAUAUUUGGUGGGGUCUCCAACCUUGUAACUCCCAACAAAUAAAAUCAUAUCACAUCCUUAUCCCUCCAAUCCGUCCCGAGUGGCCACUCGGACGGAAACAGGCAGGAGGCACGACCGGAACGUGCCGAUCCGGCUCAGGAACGUUUAACUCCAAACGAACGUGAGUCCGAACCAUCAGGAGGUACCAUUCGGGAGACCAGUCAUCGUCAGCCCAAUACUGCCCGAUCGUCUUGCCGAAAUGGUCCUAGGGCCCAGCUCCCCCAAGAGCGUCCUCAAGGGUGGGGACAGUAGGUUCAAGAAUCAAUAUUAUUCCUUUUAGGAAUAUCAAGUCAUUAAUUUCAAGAAUCAAGUCAAUCAUUCACAAGAUAAGUCACGAUCACGAUAAUUGAAUAUCAAGUCUCAGGAUAAUGAACAUGUUCAGAUUUCAAUUCAAGCCAAUGAAGAAUUGUCGUGAAUAUGGAAUUCAAGAACAACAAUAAGUUCCAUGUCAGGUUCCAAGAACGAGUAUAUCAAGAUCUCAAUGAAUUCAAUAAACAUGAGAUUCAAGUUCGAGCCAACAAAAUAUUUAUUCUCGGAAAGCAUUCAAGACAAGAUUUUGAGAAUAAAUAUAGUUCAAUAUCGAUUCAAGGAAAAUGUUCAGGCCAGGGAAUCAAGUAUAGGAAUUAGCCGUGAACAUAGCAACCAAGAGAAUUGACAAGUUCAAGAUUUCAAGAACAAGAUCAAGGUUCCAAGUUCGAGCCAAGGAAACGAAUAUGCUCACAGAACAUUAAAGGUCAUAUUCCAAGAAAAAAUAUAAUCAAUGCAUCAAAGGAUUCAAGAUGGAGAAUAUAUUUGGUUUAAACAAAGGAGAUAUUAAGCGCAGGAAAGAAAUCGGAUAAGGGGUCAUAGUUUCUCACCUGGAGUCCAACGCUAGUGCAAAGCUAGUGCUAUAGAAGUGCUAUAGAAGCAUCUUUAAGCUUAAACCUUGAGUGAGAGCUUUAGUACGCUCGACACCUAUAAACAUAUUCAUCACUUAACAAGAUUCCAAAUGCUAAUAUAAUCGUAUUAUUCUACUAUAUCACAUAGUCAAUUUCUUAAACAUAUACUAAGAAUUGCUUCUCACGGCAAUUUAUUCAAAUAAUCAUUGCGAUCAUCGUACUUAUCCGAAUGACCUAAAAGAUAUAUAAAGUUAAAGAUAACAUCUGUAUCUACAAUUUUACUAAAGACUUUAAUCCCAAAUUAACAACAUAACCCGUCAAUAAAAACCCCGAAAGAUGAAUACAUAAACCUGCCAGAUUUUCGGAUAAUUUCGUUUACUGUCACAGCUUAUUCGAACAAUCGUUACGAUCACCUUACUUAUCCGAAUAACCUAAACGAUAUAUCGAAUUAAAUAUAACAUCAGUGUCUACAGAUUUACUGAAGACCCUGAGCCCAAAUUACCGACCUAACACAGUAAUAACAGCCACGGAAGAUGAGUACAUGAAACUGCCAGGUUUUUUUUUGGAAAAUUCGUUGUUGGCACAGUUUGUUUGAAAAAUCAUAACAAUUAGCAUGCUAAUCCAAAUUGAUCACAUGAUACGUCAAAUGAAAGCUAACAGAAAAUUCUGCGAGUUCACAGAAGGCUUUAGUCCCAAAUUCGGAACCGAAAAUAGCAGAAACAGCCUCAAACCAGCAUUACAGAACUGCCGGGAUUUUGGAAAGAUUACUUCUGGUACAGCUUAUUGUAAAAUUCAUAACUAUUUGUAAAGUUAUCCAAAUUGUCCAAACAAUACACCAAAUUGAACCUUACAAUGUAAACUACAAGUUCUCAGAAGACACACAACCCAAAUUAUUAGCUCAACAUAGCAAAAACGGCCUCGUAAGAAGAAUAUUCAAAACUGCCCUGUUUUUACCGAUUUACCGUCACUUAAUUCGGACCUCUAAUCAGCUUCAAAACAUACUCUAACUCGAUACAAUUUUACACUUACCAAUAGUUUUCGAGGUCCUCUACGAGUUUUGUGAAGGAAUGAUUCCCAAAUUCUCACUCCAAACCCUCCAAAUUCUGCUCCGAAAACAGGUGCGGCAGCAAAUACUAUUUCCUUCAAGGUUCCGGCGAGCGGGCUGAACUUCUUGCCCAAUUCCGGAAACCACCGCCGAUUAAUACUACCGAGCUCCAACACCAAUGGAAGGCUAACAUCUCAAGGUUUCUAACCGUGUCCUGAUCGUCAAUAUUCAACCUCUAAGGCCUCCGAGCAAUUAAUUCUUCGAAGGACCAAAAGCUGAAAUCCGAUUCUAAGACAGCUUGUCUUCUUCGUCGGAUUCCGGCCACCACCGCCAAUCAUCUGAUGCGACCACCACCGGAGGCGAUCUGAUCAUAAUAGCCCCUUGAUAGAGCCUCCUUCACGCAGCCCUGAUUCUGCCAAUAAUUCGAAUUGGGGAUUUGCAAUUCCAACCUCAAAUUUGUUUCAUAUACCUCACUUCUUCAAACCUCUUCUUCAAUUCGAUUUCCACAAUUAAUUUCUGUGAUUCCAGCCAAGAAACGAGAGAGAGGAAGAGCCGAUGAUGAGAGAGAGAGAAAGAGAAAGCGAUGAGAGAGUGAGAAACUCUGAUUGAGCUUAUAAAGAAACGAAGAGAGGAGAAAUUGAUCGGAUAGGAAGAAGGAGGAUGACUCGUACGACACGCGUCUCUCUCCUAGUUUCCAUGGUUAAUAACACUUCAUUAUCCGAUUAAACAAGCUCGUUAAUUGCUUAAUGGCCAAGUUUGCUGAUUUAGAGAAUUAUUAUUAUGCUUAUGUCCCAAAAUUAUUACAUAAUAACACAUCAGCCCCCAAUUCUCAUUAUAAAGUACAAUAAACUCUCGCAUAAAUUACGGGGUGUUACAAUCUCCCCUCCUUAAAGGAAUCUGGUCCCCAGAUUCUCAACUAAUACUCGGACACGGGAAUAGUCUUCGAUAAUCAUCUUCUUGCUAACUUGUGGCUUCUUCAACUUGGUAGUUUCUCCGAAAUUCCUUUUAUGUCUUUUUG